rnacentral:rRNA from 1 species
UACAGUGGUCUCGAGCGUUAGGCGGAAUCACUGGGCUUAAAGCGUGUGUAGGCGGAUCGUUAAGUGCCUUGUGAAAUCCCACGGCUCAACCGUGGAACUGCUUGGCAUACUGGCGGUCUUGAGCAACCUAGGGGCGAGCGGAACAAAUGGUGGAGCGGUGAAAUGCGUAGAUAUCAUUUGGAACGCCAAUGGUGAAAACAGCUCGCUGGGGGUUUGCUGACGCUGAGACACGAAAGCCAGGGGAGCAAACGGG